rnacentral:rRNA from 1 species
GGAGGGUGCAAGCGUUAUCCGGAUUCACUGGGUUUAAAGGGUGCGUAGGUGGGUAGGUAAGUCAGUGGUGAAAUCCCCGAGCUUAACUUGGGAACUGCCGUUGAUACUAUCUAUCUUGAAUAUCGAGUAGGUAAGCGGAAUAUGUCAUGUAGCGGUGAAAUGCUUAGAUAUGACAUAGAACACCAAUUGCGAAGGCAGCUUACUUCAAGAUUAUUGACACUGAGGCACGAAAGCGUGGGGAUCAAACAGGAUUAGAUACCCUGGUAGUCCACGCCCUAAACGAUGGAUACUCGACAUCAGCGAUAUACUGUUGGUGUCUGAGCGAAAGCAUUAAGUAUCCCACCUGGGAAGUACGACCGCAAGG